rnacentral:rRNA from 1 species
GACGAACGCUGGCGGCGUGCCUAAUACAUGCAAGUCGAACGCUUUUUCUUUCAUCGGAGCUUGCUCCACCGAAAGAAAAAGAGUGGCGAACGGGUGAGUAACACGUGGGUAACCUGCCCAUCAGAAGGGGAUAACACUUGGAAACAGGUGCUAAUACCGUAUAACACUAUUUUCCGCAUGGAAGAAAGUUGAAAGGCGCUUUUGCGUCACUGAUGGAUGGACCCGCGGUGCAUUAGCUAGUUGGUGAGGUAACGGCUCACCAAGGCAACGAUGCAGAGCCGACCUGAGAGGGUGAUCAGCCACACUGGGACUGAGACACGGCCCAGACUCCUACGGGAGGCAGCAGUAGGGAAUCUUCGGCAAUGGACGAAAGUCUGACCGAGCAACGCCGCGUGAGUGAAGAAGGUUUUCGGAUCGUAAAACUCUGUUGUUAGAGAAGAACAAGGAUGAGAGUAAAAUGUUCAUCCCUUGACGGUAUCUAACCAGAAAGCCACGGCUAACUACGUGCCAGCAGCCGCAGUAAGAC